CCUACGGGUGGCAGCAGUAGGGAAUCUUCCACAAUGGGGGAAACCCUGAUGCAGCGACGCCGCGUGCGUGAAGAAGUAUUUCGGUAUGUAAAGCUCUAUUAGUAGGGAAGAAAAUGACGGUAACUGAUUAUUAAGCUCACGAUAACUACGUGCCAGCAGGCGCCGUAAUACGAAGGGGCCAAGCGUUCUCCGGAUUUACUGUGCUGAAAGGGAUCGUAGACGGCAGCACAAGUCUGGAGUUAAGUGCUGGGGCUUAACCCCUGUACGGCAUUGGAAACUUGGCCACUGGAGUGCAGGAGAGGAGAGUGGAAUUCCAAGUGUAGCGGUGAAAUGCGUAGAGAUAUGGAGGAACACCAGUGGCGAAAGCGGCUUACUGGACUGUAACUGACGUUGAGGCUCGAAAGCGUGGGGAGCAAACAGGAUUAGAUACCCCAGUAGUC
rnacentral:rRNA from 1 species